rnacentral:lncRNA from 1 species
CCAACCUUUCUUUUAGUAAUGUAUGUUUUUUUUUUCGAAUUUGAUUGAAGGAUUGAGCAUAAAUCAAAGUUUAUGAAGGGAUUUUCAUUUCUAGCUUUUAUUCAUGCUAUUUUAUUAGAGAAAUUUAAUUCUUCAUACUAAAUUUAGGCUAUAACUAAUUUAAUGAGCAAUUUAGUACAAUUAGGAUUAACUUCUCAAGUAAUGUUAAAAUUUACUUAGAUGAUUAUUGCUAUGAAUCAUGAUAUUGGAGGAAAAACUAGGUGGUAAGCUAAUGUUGAACAAAAUUCUAG